rnacentral:tRNA from 1 species
GAGGGUACAGCUCAGUGGUAAAGCACGUGCUUAGCAUGCACAAGGUCCUGGGUUCCCAGUACCUCCA